GAUCACCCCUGAUUUUCUUGGUCAGUGACUGAUUUUUAUCAAGGCGAGGACAAAAUGGAUGCAGGGCUGUGGGUAGGCCACCUCUUCAUGCUGGCAUCGUCAUCAAAAGAUCAGAAAACAUGGACCAUGUAAAGUGGCCCAUGCUAUCUCUACUGACGAAGGAAACCCUUGCACAAACCAGGAAGCGUGGAGAAGACAGGAGACAGAGGGA
rnacentral:lncRNA from 1 species